UAGAUGUGGUCUCCGACGUUACUUCCUUUAUGUUGAAAACGUCUUGGUAAACUUAAUAUAAUGUGUUCAGAGUAUAAGAAUAGGGGGACCUGUAUCUAUAACAUAUUGAUGAAUUCCAAUGUACUGCUAAGAGCCAUUGAGGCGAUAUGAUCCCUGUUUUGUAGCUGCUGUGCAGUCUAACGGCAGGUGUUCGGGAGUUUCCAACUCCAUGUCACAGAAUCGACAGUUAUUGUCAAUAUCUUUUCUGCUUGCUGAACAGCUCAUUUAUAGUAUGAGGACCAACAAUGUAGAAGUUUCCGGUCCUACCAUUAUGUUGGCAGCUGCAGUGCGGGCAAGCUCGUCAGCCAGUUCGUUCCUGUCUUUACCCUUGUGAUCUAGCAACCAAAUAAAAUGCACUUGGCUACAACCUGGUAGGCUGUUCUGCCGUUCUAUGCACUCCUGCACCAGUAGCGUUUUAAUCUUAUAAGCGGAGAUCGCUUUAAGUGCCGCUUGGCUAUCGCUGAGUAUGACUAUACUUGCGUUGGAGGUUUAUCUCUACACAACGACUUUUUAGCAAAGGCUUCUGCAUAGAAGAUGCUCGUAUAACUUCUCAUACAUAGUCCUGUGACUCCUGCACCAUUUCCCUUCGACUUUUUCAAGCCAUUGAUAUGCUAUCCCCUUAACAGUAGGUUGAGCGUGGUAUCAUUUCAUUCAGCCUGCUGACAAGGGUAACUUUAAACUUCCUAUGUUGGAUCUGUUAUUAUUAUGUUUCGCAAUCAUCAUGCGCCUAAACUGUGUAAUGGAACCCGACUGAUUGAGACGCAGCUAUCGAAUACAAGCUGGCAGUAUGCUUGAUUCUACGAACUCCUUUGAGUUCCAACGCUUUGCCAUUUCAGUUCAAACCUAUACAGUUUCCAGGGAAAAUUGCAUUUGAGAUGACAAUCAACAGGACACAAGGAUAGACGCUAGAAGUGUGUGGCAUAAAUCUGGAAAUGCCAUGUUAUUUGGAAAACCAUCUUCUCUGUACACUUACGCACCGGAACGGAAACCAAAAAAUGUUGUUUAUUAAGCUGCGUUGCAUUGAAAGAAAUUUAGAAAAAUCGGAAAAUAAAUAAUUUUCAACACGAUAUAAAUUCAACUUUCUUUUCAUUUUAAAACACAUAAUUUCACUAAGAACAACGACUGCGGGGCCUGCUAGUAUCGUAAAAUAACGAAUGUUGAUAUCAUAUGUAAUGGUAAAGGGACGACUGUCGUGUAAUAACUUCUUAAUAACUCAUCGUUAAAUAUUAUUACCAGAAAUCAUUUUGGUCUAUAAUAUGUCAGUUUAAUUCAAGAGUUUUUGUUGUUGUUGUUGUAGCGGCAGGAUUUUGCCGAGUUGACAGUCCUUGGCCGGAUAAAAAUCAGGGUGCGUUCCGGUUACGUAGACCCGACUGUCGUGGGAACGUAGACCCCGUUUGGAUCGGUAAGUGUUAAUCAAGAGUAAUAUGAAGCGUUUAAAAUUAGUGUUAAAAAACUCUUAAAUGUGGUAAAUGGAUAAUAUGUAGACCAAAAAUAAUUCAAGUUUUCAAUAUGAUUUAUGAAAAACAUUUCAGACUUGUAUGGGAAAAAAACUUUGUGGUUAAAAGUUAUAUAUGAAUUUAAUCAUGUGCACAUGAUACACAAAUAUUUUGUGGUUACGAUAAAAAUAAAUGAAUGGAAAAAACAAUGCGACCGCAAGUUUAGCUGAGUGCACUCAUGAAGAGCAAAUAAUUAAUAUAAGUACAAAAUAAGCACGAGUUAAGUUUCACUAUAAUUCACAAUACCGUCGUGUCCACACAUAUGUACAUACUAUAGUUUCAGACAUGUUUCAAAAAAUACUAGGCAAUAAAGCAAGGCAAUCCAAUGAGAGUGCAAAGAAUGAUAAAUCGCUGAGGGGCAAACCAAAAGCGAAAUCAUGCAAAUGUGUGCCGCAAAGCUGCAAAUGUAAGAUACGAAAUGCAGUCAAGCUGUUGGCCAAGCAACGUUAUCAAUUUAGAUCGAACGAAAUUCUUGUUUGAAUGUUGAAUUACAAAUAAAAAAUAUUGAAUUUCUAACAUUAA